rnacentral:lncRNA from 1 species
AUGAUGAAGUGGAUACUGUGCUGUGUUUAUGAUCUGUUAUACAUACAGUAUCUCUCUGAUGAUGGACCACCAGGACAUUUCUCUCUCUCCUCCUCUCUCCUCUUCUCUCUCCUCUUCUCUCUCCUCCUCUCUCUCCUCCUCUCUCUCUUCUUCUCUCUCCUCCUCUCUUCUAUCGCCCCUUCUACUUCUUUCCCUCACUCUUCCUCUCUCUCUUCCUCUCUCUUCCUCUUCUCUACCCCCCUCUCAUCUUCUCUCAAAGAGUUAUGGAACAUCCGCUCUCCUCCUCCUGUCCUCUCUCUCCCCUUCUCUCUCUUCUUCUAUCUCAUCUCUCCCCUUAUCUCUCUCCUCUCUCCUACUCCUCUCUCUCCCCUUCUCUCUCUCCUCCUCUCUCCUCUCUCUCCCCUUCUCUCUCUCCUCCUCUCUCUUACUCCUCUCCUCUCUCUCCCAUUCUCUCUCUCCUCUCUCUUCCUUUUCUCUACCCCCCUCUCGUCCUCUCACAAAGAGAUACGGAACCUCCUCUCUCCUCCUCCUCUCCUCCCUCUCCCCUUAUUUCUACUCCUCUCACCUCCUCUCUUCUAUCUCCCCUCCUCUCUCUUUCCCUCACUCUUCCUCUCUCUCUUCCUCUCUCUCUUUUCUCUCUUCCUCUUCUUUAUCCCCCUCUCCUCCCUCAAAGAGAUACAGAACCUCCUCUCUCCUCCUCCUGUUCUCUCUCACCCCUCCUCUCUCUCCUCCUCGCUCCUCUCUCUCCCCUUCUCUCUCUCCUCCCUUCUCUUUCUCCCCCCCUCUCUCCUCCUCUCUCCUCUCUCUCCCCUCUCCUCCUCUCCUCUCUCUCCCCUUGUCUCUCUUUCUCUCUCACCCCUUCUCUCUCUCCUCCUCGCUCCUCUCUCUCCCCUUCUCUCUCUCCUCCCUUCUCUUUCUCUCCUCCUCUCUCUCCCCUUCUCUUUCUCUCCUCCUCUCUCCUCUCUCUCCCCUCCUCUCUCCUCCUCUCUCCUCUCUCUCCCCUCUCCUCCUCUCCUCUCUCUCCCCUUGUCUUUCUUUCUCUCUCCUCUUCUCUGA